GACGAACGCUGGCGGCGUGCCUAAUACAUGCAAGUAGAACGCAGUUGCGAACGGGUGAGUAACGCGUAGGUAACUGCCUGGUAGCGGGGGAUAACUAUUGGAAACGAUAGCUAAUACCGCAUACUACCAGAUGGACCUGCGUUGUAUUAGCUAGUUGGUGAGGUAACGGCUCACCAAGGCAACGAUACAUAGCCGACCUGAGAGGGUGAUCGGCCACACUGGGACUGAGACACGGCCCAGACUCCUACGGGAGGCAGCAGUAGGGAAUCUUCGGCAAUGGGGGGAACCCUGACCGAGCAACGCCGCGUGAGUGAAGAAGGUUUUCGGAUCGUAAAGCUCUGUUGUUAAGGAAGCGGUACUUAACCAGAAAGGGACGGCUAACUACGUGCCAGCAGCCGCGGUAAUAC
rnacentral:rRNA from 1 species